UCAACAUGGCGGAUGCAGGCUCACAGGCUUUAUACAAGAAUGUAACGCCAUCGUGCGAUCAUAAAGCCCUAAAGGAAUGCCUAGAUAAAAAUAAUGGUGACAGAUCCAAAUGUAUGAAGGAAUGGGAAGAUUUCCAGCGUUCCUGUGCUGAAAAUAAGAGGAAAUUGCAAGAAAAACAAGAAACAGCUCCCUGUGGUUGUGAUUAAAAAAGGAAGGCAAGCAGGAAAAGGAAUUGACUAGGAAUAUUGUUAGAAAUGGACCUACUUGUCACACCAUCCACAUGUUUUGAAGCAGUGA